CAUGUAGGUGGAUACUUAAGUCUGUUGUGAAAAUGCGGGGCUCAACCCCGUAUUGCGAUGGAAACUGGGUGUCUUGAGUGCAGGAGAGGAAAGGGGAAUUCCCAGUGUAGCGGUGAAAUGCGUAGAUAUUGGGAGGAACACCAGUGGCGAAGGCGCCUUUCUGGACUGUGUCUGACACUGAGAUGCGAAAGCUAGGGGAGCGAACG
rnacentral:rRNA from 2 species